GCAUUGGUGGUUCAGUGAUAGAAUUCUUGCCUUCCAUGCAGAAGACCCAGGUUCAAUUCCUGGAUAAUGCA
rnacentral:tRNA from 1 species